rnacentral:rRNA from 1 species
GACGAACGCUGGCGGCGUGCCUAAUACAUGCAAGUAGAACGCUGAAGGAGGAGCUUGCUCUUCUGGAUGAGUUGCGAACGGGUGAGUAACGCGUAGGUAACCUGCCUGGUAGCGGGGGAUAACUAUUGGAAACGAUAGCUAAUACCGCAUAAGAGUAGAUGUUGCAUGACAUUUGCUUAAAAGGUGCAAUUGCAUCACUACCAGAUGGACCUGCGUUGUAUUAGCUAGUUGGUGGGGUAACGGCUCACCAAGGCGACGAUACAUAGCCGACCUGAGAGGGUGAUCGGCCACACUGGGACUGAGACACGGCCCAGACUCCUACGGGAGGCAGCAGUAGGGAAUCUUCGGCAAUGGACGGAAGUCUGACCGAGCAACGCCGCGUGAGUGAAGAAGGUUGUCGGAUCGUAAAGCUCUGUUGUAAGAGAAGAACGAGUGUGAGAGUGGAAAGUUCACACUGCGACGGUAUCUUACCAGAAAGGGACGGCUAACUACGUG